rnacentral:rRNA from 1 species
AGCGAACGCUGGCGGCAGGCCUAACACAUGCAAGUCGAACGGACCCUUCGGGGUUAGUGGCGGACGGGUGAGUAACACGUGGGAACGUGCCUUUAGGUUCGGAAUAGCUCCUGGAAACGGGUGGUAAUGCCGAAUGUGCCCUUCGGGGGAAAGAUUUAUCGCCUUUAGAGCGGCCCGCGUCUGAUUAGCUAGUUGGUGAGGUAACGGCUCACCAAGGCGACGAUCAGUAGCUGGUCUGAGAGGAUGACCAGCCACACUGGGACUGAGACACGGCCCAGACUCCUACGGGAGGCAGCAGUGGGGAAUCUUGCGCAAUGGGCGAAAGCCUGACGCAGCCAUGCCGCGUGAAUGAUGAAGGUCUUAGGAUUGUAAAAUUCUUUCACCGGGGACGAUAAUGACGGUACCCGGAGAGGAAGCCCCGGCUAACUUCGUGCCAGCAGCCGCCGCCG